rnacentral:lncRNA from 1 species
UGAGCGCGUGACAUUUAGUAUAAUUUUUAAUUUAAAAUUUUUAAAUUAUUAAAAUUUAGUCGCUCAAAUUUUAAUAAAUUAUUUAUAUAAAAGUGGUGUAAUAUUUUAAUUAUUAAGCUAUAUUAUACAAAAAAAUUAUAAAUAUUUGCUUUUUUUAUUUUUUCUUUCUAAUUUUUAAAAAUUUAUAUUUUAUCUCAUCAAUAUUUUAAGUUGUUAUAUUUAGCACCUCUCCGUCGGAAUUCCAUCACUCUUCC